UUCUUGUCUUCAUAAAGCUGCGUGUUACUGCACUCAAUAUUGUUACUAUCUCCGGUCCAAUUUAAAUUUGUUUUAAACUUUAAAAUUUGGUCCACAGUGUCGUUUUAGGAAACCAAGAAGGCAUUAAUUUUUCCCCAAAUCUUCAGCUACUCUACAACAACAACAUACCCAAUGUAAUCCCACGAAUGGGGUCUGGGAAAGGUAGAGUAAAAAAAAGUCAGUAAGAUAAUCAAAGUAGGAGAAACAACAGAUAGUACAUGUAAUCAAAGGACAUGAAACUAUAAGAGAAAGACUACGACUACUACUAUGGAAGGACAACUGAGACAACGCUCUAAUACCUACUAGCCUUCUAAGCUGCAAUUGUGCCAUGUCAUGUCUAAUCACCUCUCCGCGAUACUUCUUCGGCCUACCUCUACCUCUCCUGAAACCAUACACCGCCAACCUCUCACACUUCCGUACUGUGGCGUCCGUGCAUCUUCUCUUGACAUGCCCGAACCAUCUCAGUCUCGCUUCCCGCAUCUUGUCCUCCACUGAGGCCACUCCCACCUUGUCCCUGAUAUCUUCAUUUCUAAUCCUAUCACUCCUAGUCUGCCCACACAUCCAUCGCAGCAUCCUCAUUUCCA